UUCAGUGAGAUUCCAAAACAUAAAUAGCUUGUUACAACAUUUAAGGUAUUACUGAAAACUCAGUAUUUUAGAGAUUGAAUGUGUAAAAUACUUUACUCUGAAUAUUUGAAUUUUAAACGAACUGUCACAUCGAUAUUGGCAAGAUGACAGUCAUCGAAUAUGUACAAACUUUAUCCGAUAACCCUUACUUUGGAGCCGGCUUUGGAUUAUUUGGAGUAGGCGCAGCUGCAGCUUUAUUGAGAAAGGGAACGCAAGUUGGGAUGGUACUUUUUAGACGUCACUAUAUGAUUACACUGGAAGUUCCUUGCCGUGAUAAAAGUUACCAGUGGCUUUUGCAGUGGAUUACACGCAUAGGUGCUCGAGAAACUCAGCACCUUUCUGUUGAAACUAGUUUCGAGCAAAAAGACACUGGUCAUGUUAAAACUAAAUAUGAUUUUAUACCAAGCAUUGGAACACAUUUCUUUAGAUAUAAUGGCAAUUGGAUAAGAGUUGAACGGACGAGAGAACAGCAGACGCUUGAUUUACAUAUGGGAGUCCCGUGGGAAACCGUCCAACUAACUGCUUUUGGGAGAAAUAGGAACAUAUAUUUCAAUAUUCUUGAGGAAGCCAGGCAAAUGGCUCUCAAGGAACACGAGGGAAAGACAAUAAUGUAUACGGCACUUGGAAGCGAAUGGAGGCAAUUCGGACAUCCUAGGAAGAGAAGACCUAUAGAUUCAGUAGUUUUGGAUACUGGGAUCGCCGAAAGAAUUUUAAACGACUGCAAAGAAUUUAUAAAUAACCCUGGAUGGUAUAGUGAUAGAGGUAUUCCAUACCGGCGAGGAUAUUUACUAUAUGGACCACCAGGCUGUGGCAAAUCCUCGUUCAUUACUGCACUAGCAGGUGAAUUAGAACGAGGCAUCUGUGUACUGAAUCUUUCUGAACGUGGCUUAACCGAUGACAGGUUAAAUCACUUAUUAGCAGUAGCACCGCAACAAACAAUUAUUCUCCUUGAAGAUAUCGAUGCUGCAUUUACUAGUAGAGAAGAAAGCAAAGAAGUUAGAGCAGCGUAUGAUGGAUUAAACAGGGUUACAUUUAGUGGAUUACUGAACUGCCUGGAUGGUGUAGCGUCUACCGAGGCGCGAAUCUUGUUCAUGACGACUAAUUAUUUGGACAGAUUAGACCCUGCAUUGAUACGACCUGGAAGAGUGGAUGUCAAAGAAUACAUAGGUUGGUGUAGUGCAAGUCAAGUAGAACAAAUGUUUCUGAGAUUUUACAAAGGUCCCGUGGCAGUGGCUCGGGAACUUGCACAGCAAUUUGCUGACAAAGUGAUAAUGCAAAAAAAGAACGUUAGUCCAGCACAGAUCCAAGGAUUUUUCAUGUUUCACAAGAACAAUCCCAAUGCAGUAAUAACUAACGUUUCACAAAUAUGGGAAAUCACAUGAUAAAUAUGAAUCCAGUGUGUAACAUUAAUAUCAUUGUCGAACGCAUAUGUACAUUGUGCUCAAUAUUUUAGUUUCCUCUAGAAAGCAAGAAAUGAUACCGCUCUACGUGAACCUAUACAGUACAUGUUUAAUACUUCUCGACUCCUGCGAACUGACUGAUAAGGGCAUUAUCCCCCAUUAUUGGACAAUGUGGAAAUGAGUGACUUAUUGUUACACACUUACUAAGAAAAUAUAGUACUCUGGAAAAUAAUAUCACAUGUUUAGAACAUGUACUACUUUCUUACUUAACUAUUGCUCAGCAUACGGAACUAAAUUAUGGAUCACACAGUCCUUUGAUUUUAAACGUAAAUGCUUUAUCCUCUAUGCUAGUCACCAGUUACUUCUAACUUACAGAAUGUUACACGACUAAUGCAUUAUAUGCGAUAAAAAAUGGUACAAUAAUAUACUGAAUUUGCCAAUACAUAUACGCAUCUAGUACUGUUAAUUUUACUUCCUAAGGAAAACAUUCAUCCUUGUAAGAGAGAUCAUUGUCAGUGAUAUGCAUAAUAUUUACACCUACUGUCAUCCGCUAAUACUUGAUUUCAUUGAAACGAUUCAUUUACCAUAAAUGCUAUUAAGUUCACAAUUCAAAUGGUGGAUUUGUAUACAAAGUAAUAUUUGUAUAUUAUUGAUGGUGAUACUCAUGACGAGAAACUGAAAAUGACUUUGCACAGUCGUGGUAUUAUUUUUUUUUUUACAGGUAUGGUAGUUUCUUAUAUUAGUAAGUAGUCAAGCAUGUAUGUGCCAAUUUGUACUCUAUCUCUUAGGAGUAAUCAAUUCUUUGAUAAAAAUAUUUUCCGUAUCGUGGUUUAACCACGAAAUUGUUCUGCAAAGAAUUUUUCAGUUUAAAAAUAGUUCUCUUAAAACGUAAAUUUGUUAAAUUACUAAUAACCGAUAGAUAACAUAAAUGCAUUUCUAAGAAGCAAAUUCAAAUUGAUCAUAAUCACUUUCUGAAGUUGAAAUAUUGUUUCCAAAUUGGCUGACCAUAAAAUACUUUUGUUUAACAAAAUUCAUGGAUGGGACAGUAUAAAUUAAAAUUAAAUAACAUUCAGAAUUCUCAGUUCUCUCAGUAGAGAUAAUCAGCCUUCACGAUACUCAACAUUUUUUCUUUACGAAUUCAAUGUAAUCGAUAAUUAUUCCAGAUUCUAACAACAUGAUAUGAAAAAGAAUUCACAAAAGUUAUACCUACUAUAUCACUGUAUAUACACAAUUCUUAUUCUAUACUUAUAGCUUGUUAAAAUUGCCUAGCUAAAUUUAUGCAAAUAUUACCGAUGUAAUUGAUCAGAUACUAAUCCGUCAGUAAAAAAUUCACUGGCAGUUAAAAACUGGGAUUGAUAUAUAUAUAUGUAUUUAUAUAUAAUAGUAUAAAAUUCCAGUUUGCACCAUUCUAAAACGAAGGAUGAUCGUAAGCUUAAAAGGUUUGCAUUUUGAUUGCUUC